rnacentral:rRNA from 1 species
UACAGAGGGGGCGAGCGUUGUUCGGAAUUACUGGGCGUAAAGGGCGCGUAGGCGGCCUCUUAAGUCGAACGUGAAAUCCCCGGGCUCAACCCGGGAACUGCGUCCGAUACUGGGGGGCUUGAGGAUCAGAGGGGUGCAUGGAAUUUCCGGUGGAGCGGUGAAAUGCGUUGAUAUCGGAAGGAACUCCGGCGGCGAAAGCGAUGCACUGGCUGAUUUCUGACGCUGAGGUGCGAAAGCCAGGGGAGCAAACGGG